UCGCUUUGGCAGCAAACAUCCUAAAGUUGGAAUGAUACACAGAUUAGCAUGGCUGCUGCCCAAGGGUGACAUGAAAAUUCAUGAAAUGUUCCAUAUAAAA
ensembl:snRNA U6 U6 spliceosomal RNA